rnacentral:rRNA from 1 species
AGUGAACGCUGGCGGCAGGCCUAACACAUGCCAGUCGAGCGGCAGCGGGUCCUUCGGGAUGCCGGCGAGCGGCGGACGGGUGAGGAAUACAUCGGAAUCUGCCCUGUCGUGGGGGAUAACCUAGGGAAACUUAGGCUAAUACCGCAUACGACCUACGGGUGAAAGCGGGGGAUCGCAAGACCUCGCGCUACAGGAUGAGCCGAUGUCCGAUUAGCUAGUUGGCGGGGUAAAGGCCCACCAAGGCGACGAUCGGUAGCUGGUCUGAGAGGAUGAUCAGCCACACUGGGACUGAGACACGGCCCAGACUCCUACGGGAGGCAGCAGUGGGGAAUAUUGGACAAUGGGCGCAAGCCUGAUCCAGCCAUGCCGCGUGGGUGAAGAAGGCCUUCGGGUUGUAAAGCCCUUUUGUCCGGGAAGAAAUCGUCUGGGCUAAUACCCCGGGCGGAUGACGGUACCGGAAGAAUAAGCACCGGCUAACUUCGUG